UCCACUGUUGCCAGCAAUUCGGKGGGGGACUCAGUGGAGACCGCCGGGGUCAACUCGGAGGAAGGUGGGGAUGACGUCAAGUCAUCAUGCCCCUUAUGUCCAGGGCUUCACGCAUGCUACAAUGGCCGGUACAGUGAGUUGCGACAUCGUAAGGUGGAGCGAAUCUCAAAAAGCCGGUCUCAGUUCGGAUUGGGGUCUGCAACUCGACCUCAUGAAGUCGGAGUCGCUAGUAAUCGCAGAUCAGCAACGCUGCGGUGAAUACGUUCCCGGGGCUUGUACACACCGCCCGUCAAGUCAUGAAAGUCGGUAACACUCGAAGCCGGUGGCCUAACACUUUUUGUGGGGGAGCUGUCGAAGGUGGGACUGGUGAUUAGGACUAAGUCGU
rnacentral:rRNA from 1 species